rnacentral:rRNA from 1 species
AUUGAACGCUGGCGGCAGGCCUAACACAUGCAAGUCGAGCGGAUGAAGGGAGCUUGCUCCUGGAUUCAGCGGCGGACGGGUGAGUAAUGCCUAGGAAUCUGCCUGGUAGUGGGGGAUAACGUCCGGAAACGGGCGCUAAUACCGCAUACGUCCUGAGGGAGAAAGUGGGGGAUCUUCGGACCUCACGCUAUCAGAUGAGCCUAGGUCGGAUUAGCUAGUUGGUGGGGUAAAGGCCUACCAAGGCGACGAUCCGUAACUGGUCUGAGAGGAUGAUCAGUCACACUUGAACUGAGACACGGUCCAGACUCCUACGGGAGGCAGCAGUAGGGAAUAUUGGACCAUGAGGGAAAGCCUGAUCCAGCCAUGCCGCGUGUGUGAAGAAGGUCUUCGGAUUGUAAAGCUCUUAAAGUUGGGAGGAAGAGCAGUAAGUUAAGACCUUGCUGUUUUGACGUUACCAACAGAAUAAGCACCGGCUAACUUCGUG